rnacentral:rRNA from 1 species
GUGCCUAAUACAUGCAAGUCGAGCGGACAGAUGGGAGCUUGCUCCCUGAUGUUAGCGGCGGACGGGUGAGUAACACGUGGGUAACCUGCCUGUAAGACUGGGAUAACUCCGGGAAACCGGGGCUAAUACCGGAUGGUUGUCUGAACCGCAUGGUUCAGACAUAAAAGGUGGCUUCGGCUACCACUUACAGAUGGACCCGCGGCGCAUUAGCUAGUUGGUGAGGUAACGGCUCACCAAGGCGACGAUGCGUAGCCGACCUGAGAGGGUGAUCGGCCACACUGGGACUGAGACACGGCCCAGACUCCUACGGGAGGCAGCA